GAUGAACGCUGGCGGCGUGCCUAAUACAUGCAAGUCGAGCGAACGGACGAGAAGCUUGCUUCUCUGAGGUUAGCGGCGGACGGGUGAGUAACACGUGGAUAACCUACCUAUAAGACUGGGAUAACUUCGGGAAACCGUAGCUAAUACCGGAGAAUAUUUUGAACCGCAUGGUUCAAAAGUGAAAGACGGUCUUGCUGUCACUUAUAGAUGGAGCCGCGCUGCAUUAGCUAGUUGGUAAGGUAACGGCUUACCAAGGCAACGAUGCAUAGCCGACCUGAGAGCGUCAUCGGCCACCCUGGAACUGAGACACGGUCCCGACUCCUACGGUGGGCCGCAGUCGGGAAUCUUCCGCAAUGGGCGAAAGCCUGACGGAGCAACGCCGCGUGAGUGCUGAAGGUCUUCGGAUCGUAAAACUCUGUUUUUAGGGAAGAACAUAUGUGUAAGUAACUGUUCACAUCUUGACGGUACCUAAUCAGAAAGCCCCGGCUAACUACGUG
rnacentral:rRNA from 1 species